rfam:Felis catus isolate Cinnamon breed Abyssinian chromosome A2, whole genome shotgun sequence.
GCCUGGGUGGCUCAGUCAGUUAAGCAUCUGACUUCAUUUCAGGUCAUGAUCUCACGGUUUGUGGGUUCGAGCCCCACAUCAGGCU